rnacentral:rRNA from 1 species
AGAGUUUGAUCCUGGCUCAGGAUGAACGCUGGCGGCGUGCCUAACACAUGCAAGUCGAGCGAAGCGCUGUUUUCAGAAUCUUCGGAGGAAGAGGAUAGUGACUGAGCGGCGGACGGGUGAGUAACGCGUGGGCAACCUGCCUCAUACAGGGGGAUAACAGUUAGAAAUGACUGCUAAUACCGCAUAAGCGCACAGGACCGCAUGGUGUAGUGUGAAAAACUCCGGUGGUAUGAGAUGGACCCGCGUCUGAUUAGGUAGUUGGUGGGGUAAAGGCCUACCAAGCCGACGAUCAGUAGCCGACCUGAGAGGGUGACCGGCCACAUUGGGACUGAGACACGGCCCAAACUCCUACGGGAGGCAGCAGUGGGGAAUAUUGCACAAUGGGGGAAACCCUGAUGCAGCGACGCCGCGUGAAGGAAGAAGUAUUUCGGUAUGUAAACUUCUAUCAGCAGGGAAGAAAAUGACGGUACCUGAGUAAGAAGCACCGGCUAAAUACGUGCCAGCAGCCGCGGUAAUACGUAUGGUGCAAGCGUUAUCCGGAUUUACUGGGUGUAAAGGGAGCGUAGACGGAUAGGCAAGUCUGGAGUGAAAACCCAGGGCUCAACCCUGGGACUGCUUUGGAAACUGCAGAUCUGGAGUGCCGGAGAGGUAAGCGGAAUUCCUAGUGUAGCGGUGAAAUGCGUAGAUAUUAGGAGGAACACCAGUGGCGAAGGCGGCUUACUGGACGGUGACUGACGUUGAGGCUCGAAAGCGUGGGGAGCAAACAGGAUUAGAUACCCUGGUAGUCCACGCCGUAAACGAU